AUUUUCAAGCCACUGCCUUCAAAUUCUCUCUCACACCUACAUUUUCAUAAACAAGAAUCAAUAUGCCUAAGGUUCUUGCAGCUUUUGUUUUUCUGUUGAUCAUCGUUGCCAUGUCUCAUGAUCAGCACCCAGCCGGAGGCGGUGAAGCCAGAGCGCUAUCACUCAAACAAGUGAAUUCGACGAAUUUCUUUGCUACACUAGGGCUUGAGUGCAAGUGUUGUGAUGGUGAUGAAGGUGAAUGCAGAAGCUCAUGGCAGUUAUCUUGCUCAAACCUUCAAUGCAAGCCGUGGAAAUCUUACUGAUUACUUCACACACACUGUUUCUUGAUUAUACGGCUGCUUGUUGCCCAUAAAUCACGCAUGUUUCUUUGUCUUUUAUAUGUAUAGCUUCAAUUAGGACUUAAAUUUAAUAACUUAUUUUGAAAAAACUUAAUUAUUUAUUAUCUAUAUUUUAAUUC